rnacentral:siRNA from 1 species
UGAUCAUUUAUGUGUCUUUG